CGACGUGGGCAACCUGCCUUAUACAGGGGGAUAACAGCUGGAAACAGCUGCUAAUACCGCAUAAGCGCACAGCGGCGCAUGACGCAGUGUGAAAAACUGAGGUGGUAUAAGAUGGGCCCGCGUCUGAUUAGCUGGUUGGGAGGGUAACGGCCUACCAAGGCGACGAUCAGUAGCCGGCCUGAGAGGGCGGACGGCCACAUUGGGACUGAGACACGGCCCAGACUCCUACGGAAGGCAGCAG
rnacentral:rRNA from 1 species